UAUAUACAACUGGCAAAAACAAGAAGGAAAAAAAUUGUAUCUGUCAUAGGGCCAAAACAGAAGGAAGCUACUUUGGAUUCUUCUUUUAAGAACAAACUAGGAUUACACCAAACAAAAUUUAUACAUGUGAACCACAUCUAGCAUGUCGGUCAAUAACCUCAACAUCACAUUGCUCCUUCCCUUAACUAUUAUGUGUUUUCAAAGAAAUUACACAUGUUAUUAACCCUACAAAUAGAAAGCAACAAAAAUUGAACAAAACAACAAGCACAAGCUACAAAUUUUUGCAUGUUAUGAUCAAUAGAGUAGUAGAAUUCAAUCAUGUAAAAACAAAAGCAACAUCCAUUAUCGAUUGUCAAAAACAAACCGAGCCUAAGAAACAAGCUACCAAGUCAGUUCAGUUUUCCAGCUACAAUUCCAUAUCAAGAAAUUCAAGACAACAAAUGAAGUAAACUGAAAAGCAAUACUCUGAUAGUUAAAUUAAAGAGUAGGACUAAACCCCAAGUUCUGAUUCCUUAAAUAAUCGAGGUGGACAGUGUUAAUGGAAAAAAAAACUCAUUUUCGAAACUAAAAUUUAUUUCCAACAUGAACAGAAAGACAAAAGCUAUUUGGCAUGUCUAAUAUGAAGUGGUUACAAAUAAACUUACAAUUGAAUUGCAGCAAAUAGCAAAUUGCAGCAAACAACUAUUCGGCAUUAAAAGACUAAACCAAAUUGCAGCAAACAACAAAACCAAAAUUGCUAUGUUAAAACUAAAAUCUAUCUAACUAAUGUAUAUAUGUCAAGAAAAUCACUAGUCCUUCAUUUAAAUGUUGAAAAACAUGUUGUUAUUUCAUUUAAAUCAAUAGAAAGAAAAAAGCUAUUCUACUUCUAGUUUCAUUAUGUUUGGUUAAAACUUGGGCAAAGACUAGUAAAGUUCAUAGCGUUUCAACGAGAAAUAAAAACCAACCCAAAGCUAAGAAUGAGAAUUAAAGGUAAAAAAGUUCAUGGCACCCAAAACCCAGAGAAGUUUACUUUAGGCCUUUUAGUAAGUCUUUCCCUUCCUUGUACUAAGUAAGUUGGGGAUCCUUUCUUUCUUUUUAAUAUUCUUUCUCUCCAGGCAAGCAAGGAAGUAAGCAAGUAAGGAAGGGGGUCUGUAUGUCUAUCCCAUCCCUUCUUUGGUUCAGUCUUUGGUAGUAGGUGCGAUAUUGAAGGAGUUCAGGGCUAAGGGCUGGAGCUUUAUUUCCACUCCCAGUAGUCUGUCUUUAAUAGUUCGCUUGGAAAGUAGUCUUUCGUAAGCAGGAGGGUAGCGCUUCGCAGGUGAAGGUGUAGGAUUUGCUUCUUCCCCUUAUUGCUAUUACUUAUAUUUUUAUUUUUUAAAUAGCUUAGAGGGCCUGCCCUUGUUCUGGUUCUAAAAGAAGAGUUCAAAGAAGAGUCAACCUAGAAGAAUUUGAAUCAUCCAAUUCCUAUAGCUUAUUUGAAUCAUCCAUUGUUUCAAGACCUUUUAAAUAAAGCUGAGGAAGAAUUUGGGUUUAAUCAUCUAAUGGGUGGUCUUACAAUUCCAUGUAGUGAAGAGUAUUUCAUUAGUUUAACAACUGUCAUUGAAUUGUUCAUAGAGGUAUUUCAUCAUCAACCAUGGAUGCAUUAAAAAGAAUAGCAGUCUUUUCAUAAUUUUUUCCUUUUUUUUCUCUUUUUUCAGUAGGGAUUAGCUAAAAAGAAUAACAGUUUUUUUUUCUCUUUCAUCAUCAACCAUGGAUGCAUGAGGAAGCAGAGAUAAUUUAUUUUUUUUGAAAAUUUUUUUUUACCGAAUCUUAAGAUGUUAACUAAAAAUAUUGUUUUUGGUUAGAAGGAAUGCGCUAGUUUCGAUUAUUAAUAGAAUUGUAGCAAACAACAAAUUGCAGCAAACAACAAACAAAGGAAGUAAAAGGAAGCAGAGUUUCCUGGAUGAAGAAGAACGAAGAUGAAGAACGGCUUGGCUAGGAAAGAUUGGUAAGAGUUGGAACAAAAAGUGAAACUAAACAGCAGCCUGAGAAGAGAAGAUAUGUGAAAAGCCAGGAAAAAAGGAAAUUAAAAGAUGAAAAUAGAAGAAGUAGGAGGAACAUACCUGGAUGGAGAAGAAGAAGAUGAAGAACGGCGCAAUGGGGAAGACUAGAGAGUUGGAAAAUGUCUUACGGAAAAAAAUUAUGCAAGACAAUUUCCCUAAAACCUUAGGCAUUUUACCCGUGAGUGUGAAAACAUUUUACAUGGGGAAAACCUUUUCCAGUCAAACAAACACCAGAAAAUCAAGAAAACAUUUUCCGAAAAAUGUUUUCCUGCCAAACAAACACACCCUUAAUGGAAAUUUUGGAAUUUUACAAAACGUUUAACCUUUUAGUAGUCUGCAAUAUGAUUUUAGAUAUUGCAAUUUUGGAAAUUUAGAAUAAAAAUGGAAACGUGAUUGCGGACACCUUUUUUU
rnacentral:lncRNA from 1 species